rnacentral:tRNA from 1 species
AUCUAAAUAGUUUAAUUGAAAAUGUUGGUUUGUGGUGCCAAUGAUAUAGUUUUUAUUUUGGAUU